CGACUCUCUGUCUGUACUGACGCUGAGGCUCGAAAGCGUGGGGAGCAAACAGGAUUAGAUACCUGGUAGUCCACGCCGUAAACGAUGAGUGCUAAGUGUUAGGGGGUUCCGCCCUUUAGUGCUGCAGCUAACGCAUUAAGCACUCCGCGUGGGGAGUACGACCGCAAGGUUGAAACUCAAAGGAAUUGACGGGGGCCCGCACAAGCGGUGGAGCAUGUGGUUUAAUUCGAAGCAACGCGAAGAACCUUACCAGGUCUUGACAUCCUUUGACCACUUUAGAGAUAAAGCUUUCCCUUCGGGGACAAAGUGACAGGUGGUGCAUGGUUGUCGUCAGCUCGUGUCGUGAGAUGUUGGGUUAAGUCCCGCAACGAGCGCAACCCUUAUUGUUAGUUGCCAUCAUUCAGUUGGGCACUCUAGCGAAACUGCCGGUGACAAACCGGAGGAAGGUGGGGAUGACGUCAAAUCAUCAUGCCCCUUAUGACCUGGGCUACACACGUGCUACAAUGGACAGUACAAUGAGCAGCGACACGGCGACGUGAAGCGAAUCUCAUAAAGCUGUUCUCAGUUCGGAUUGUAGGCUGCAACUCGCCUACAUGAAGCCGGAAUCGCUAGUAAUCGCGGAUCAGCACGCCGCGGUGAAUACGUUCCCGGGCCUUGUACACACCGCCCGUCACACCACGAAAGUUUGUAACACCCAAAGUCGGUGAGGUAACCUUCGGGAGCCAGCCGCCUAAGGUGGGAUAGAUGAUUGGGGUGAAGUCGUAACAAGGUAACCA
rnacentral:rRNA from 1 species